UUAUUGUUUGUAGAGAUGCAAAAUGUUGUUCUCAACGAGCUUGCAGAAAUAAAAGUUCUUUUAAAAGAAGUUAUAGAAAUUAAGUUUCAGGCUACUGGGGUGAAGUUGCUAGAAUCAGUGGACGAAGUGGUUACACUGGAUAAUAAACUAAAAGAUAAAACCGAGUAUACUAAUUUGCUUGAUAGUUUGAAAAAGAUUGGUGGUGAAAAGCCAAGAGAACAUGUUUUUUUGAUCAUGUAAAGGUUAUUUUCGAAUCAGUUACAGUCCAAAUUUAAUGGAAAAAGAAAUGGGGAAAAGAUA